GACGAACGCUGGCGGCGUGCCUAAUACAUGCAAGUAGGACGCAGUUGCGAACGGGUGAGUAACGCGUAGGUAACUACCUAUUAGAGGGGGAUAACUCUUGGAAACGAUAGCUAAUACCGCAUACUAGUAGAUGGACCUGCGUUGUAUUAGCUAGUAGGUAGGGUAAUGGCCUACCUAGGCAACGAUACAUAGCCGACCGGAGAGGGGGAGUGGCCACAAGGGGAAUUGGAAAAGGCCCAGACUCCUACGGGAGGCAGCAGUAGGGAAUUUUCGGCAAUGGGGGGAACCCGGACCGAGCAACGCCGCGGUAGUGAAGAAGGGUUUCGGAUCGGAAAGCUUUGUUGUUAAGGAAGCGGUACUUAACCAGAAAGGGACGGCUAACUACGUGCCAGCAGCCGCGGUAAUUC
rnacentral:rRNA from 1 species